UUAGUAGAAGCCAAAACAGAGGCCUUUCAUUGUUAAUGAAAAAAUUGAUUAUAAUAAUCCUACUAAA
rnacentral:tRNA from 1 species